GAGUGAACGCUGGCGGUAGGCCUAACACAUGCAAGUCGAACGGCAGCACAGUAAGUGCUUGCUCUUACGGGUGGCGAGUGGCGGACGGGUGAGGAAUACAACGGAAUUUACUUUUUCGUGGGGGAUAACGUAGGGAAACUUACGCUAAUACCGCACACGACCUACGGGUGAAAGCAUGGGAUCUUCGGACCUUGCGCGAUUGAAUGAGCCGAUGUCGGAUUAGCUGGUUGGCGGGGGAAAGGCCCACCAAGACGACGAUCCGUAGCUGGUCUGGGAGGAUGAUCAGCCCAACUGGAACUAAAACACGGUCCAGACUCCUACGGGAGGCACAAGUGGGGAAUAUUGGGCAAUGGGCGCAAACCUGAUCCAGCCAUACCGCGUGGGUGAGGAAGGCCUUCGGGUUGUAAAGCCCUUUUGUUGGGAAGAAAGAGCAGCAGGUUAAUACCCCGCUGUUCUGACGGUACCCAACGAAUAAGGACCGGCUAACUUCGUG
rnacentral:rRNA from 1 species